rnacentral:rRNA from 1 species
UAAGGAAUAUUGCGCAAUGGGGGAAACCCUGACGCAGCAACGCCGCGUGGAGGAUGACACUUUUCGGAGCGUAAACUCCUUUUAUCAGGAAAGAAUAAUGACGGUACCUGAUGAAUAAGCACCGGCUAACUCCGUGCCAGCAGCCGCGGUAAUACGGGGGGUGCAAGCGUUACUCGGAAUCACUGGGCGUAAAGGACGCGUAGGCGGAUUAUCAAGUCUUUUGUGAAAUCUAGUGGCUUAACCACUAAACUGCUUAGGAAACUGAUAGUCUAGAGUAGGGGAGAGGUAGAUCGAAUUCUUGGUGUAGGGGUAAAAUCCGUAGAGAUCAAGAAGAAUACCCAUUGCGAAAGCGAUCUGCUGGAACCUAACUGACGCUGAGGCGUGAAAGCGUGGGUAGCAAACAGG